GCGGUGGAGGCGGGGUCUGGGGGCCUCCGUCGUCCUAUCAGAAGGAGCGAUUCCCGUCGUGGGCGGCGCCGGGUUUGGUUUUAAGCUCGGAGCGGCUCGCCUCGAGGACAGGACGGGCAGAAUCGCGAAAUGGCGGAAAGCUCAGUGAUGGAGGUGGCGUGCAGCGCUGCAGAGAGCUCUGUGAAGCCUCAAGCGGAGGAGAUGACGUCGAAGGAUUAUUACUUCGACUCGUACGCUCACUUUGGCAUCCACGAGGAGAUGCUGAAGGACGAGGUCCGGACGCUGACCUACAGGAACUCCAUGUUCCACAACAAGCAUCUGUUCAAGGACAAGGUGGUCCUGGACGUGGGCAGCGGGACGGGGAUCCUGUGCAUGUUCGCUGCCAAAGCAGGAGCCAAGAAAGUGAUUGGGAUCGAGUGUUCCAGUAUUUCUGACUACGCUGUGAAAAUCGUCAAGGCCAACAAACUGGAUCACAUCGUGUCUAUAAUCAAGGGGAAGGUGGAGGAGGUCACUCUGCCGGUGGAGAAGGUGGAUAUCAUCAUCUCCGAGUGGAUGGGAUACUGUCUGUUCUACGAGUCCAUGCUCAACACUGUCAUCUACGCCCGGGACAAGUGGCUGAAACCAGAUGGUCUGAUUUUCCCCGACAGAGCGACUCUGUACGUGACGGCCAUCGAAGACCGACAAUACAAAGAGUACAAAAUCCACUGGUGGGAGAAUGUCUACGGGUUUGACAUGUCUUGUAUUAAAGAGGUUGCCAUCAAGGAGCCGCUGGUGGAUGUCGUGGACCCCAAGCAGCUGGUGUCGAGCGCCUGUCUGAUCAAGGAAGUUGAUAUCUACACAGUGAAGAUUGAGGAUCUCUCCUUCUCCUCUCCGUUCUGCCUGCAAGUGAAGAGGAACGACUACACCCACGCGCUGGUCACGUACUUCAACAUCGAGUUCACUCGCUGUCACAAGAGAACGGGCUUCUCAACCAGUGAGUGCAGCACAAACCACAGCUCCCAGUCUAGCACCCCGUCCCGCCCGCGCGCUGGUCACGUACUUCAACAUCGAGUUCACUCGCUGUCACAAGAGAACGGGCUUCUCAACCAGCCCCGAGUCUCCCUACACUCACUGGAAGCAGACUGUGUUCUACCUGGAUGAUUACCUGACUGUGAAGACUGGAGAGGAGAUCCUGGGAACCAUCUCCAUGAAGCCCAACGCCAAGAACAACCGUGAUCUUGACUUCUCCGUUGAUAUUGACUUCAAAGGGCAGCUCUGUGAGAUUUCCAAGACCUGCGAGUACAGAAUGCGCUAGAAACAGAUUCACCCGUCAAUCAAACAUUACCAGCGAGUCCCGGCUGCAUUCCCCCCCCCCCCCCCUCUCCCCCCCGCGGGUCUCCACAGCAACGCCACCGCCUCCUCCUGUCACCACGGCAACCGUCCCGCCCACUUCAGGAGGCAACUGCUUCCUGCGUCCUUGUUCUGCCCUAUUGGUGUGUUUUACUUCCUGUGUUGUGAGUUUCCACGGAAACGGAAUGCUUCUCCUGACCUUUCCGUUUUUAUAACGGAGGUAUUAUUAUGGUCUGUAAUUUAGUUUUUUGUGUGUUUUGAGAUUAUAUUAAAGGAGACGGCAGUUUCAGGUUUCUGGGGGAGGGAUUUGCAUUUAAAUUACAAUGGGAUGUUUUUCAAGGAACUGAAGAAGGAACAUUUUUAUUUAAUUUGUUGCUGCUUUAUUCAUGUUUUGGGAUUUUUGUUUUUCAUUUUUAAAAAAAUAAAGAAUUUAGUCUGA